UUGGUGAAGUUAAAUACACUGAUGUCGACGGUGUGGGACAGCGGGUUGAAUCUGGAGACGAAGCGUUUCAAUGAUCCAGCAAGCCGUUGGUUGGUUUCGUUCCCGAAAUUGACCAUGCUGAAUUGAACCUCUCAUCGACAAGCAGGGGAGGCGUUGUUGAUCUGACAUUUCGUCAACUUGUCAGGAGGCGAUCCUCGACAGCUGAGGACGAAUUUCACCAGUUCCAGACCAGCAUCCAGUUCAAUCUCCUCCAUCCUAGAUGAUAUUUGUAGCUCGAAUUCCUCAAGCUUUGCGAUCGAAAAUUUCAGCUUCUUACUCUGGUCGAGUUGGUCGAGUUGGUCUAGUUUACCCAGGGUUAGGGAUUUCAGAGAUGGUAGCUUGGAAACAAUCGUGUGAAGUUCAUCCAGAGUCGAUGGAGAAUCCACGAGCUCCAAAUGUUUCAGCAGAGGGGCAUUAAUAUAUAACCGUUGAUGGCCACUUCCAGGUCCCGAAGAAUCAGAGUCUGGAGUUUGGGCGCUGCAAUCUCAACUUCGGAGACGUGGGAAGAACAAGCUUCCAGCCUCUUCAGGUUGGUAAGAUUCGAAAGCUGGAACUUCUUCAAUGGGUUAAUAUCUCUGAAUUCUAGGGUUUCCAGGAAAGGAGCGGUACCUAUCAUAUCCAUGAAGAGUUGCCCGUCGUUCUUGAAUUCGACAUCAUCCAGGUAUAGGAAUCGUAGAGAACUCAGAGAAAGUGGAAAAUCACAGUACUCGCUAUAGGCAAACACGAUUCCCGUCAGCCUAAGAACCGUCGCCGCGGAGUCGGAGAGCGUCCUGAACGGCAGUUCGAGGUAGGCCUUCGCGACGUGGAUGUGGAUUUCUUCUGCUUUCCUAUGAGGCCAAAAUCAGUAGGAGCUCGAGAGCACGGGAGCGGUAGACACAAUCUUCGUUACCUAUGAGAGAAAUCCUGAGAGUUUCCAUGCGGAAUCGGCUGUCUCUGCAAAACCUAUCAAUGGUUGACUCGCAGAAUUUCUUGAGAUCUUGCAUCACUAUGGAAGCGCCGGCGACAGACUCCCCGCGUCGGCGGCGACAAUCCGUGGUCGAACGCCACGACUGGGUACGACCUCCAAACAGUUCGCCAUCGUCUGGAGAGGGCGACAGUUCCGGUUGCUUGUUUCGGGGACUCUAAGAGGCGGAGUAUGUUGCGGAGGACUUCCUCCGGCAGCUCUGAGAUUCGAUCUUUGGUCGAUUUCUUUCGCUUCUUCGCCAUUGAUAACUGCAGGCAGGCUAGGGCUUUCAGCUUUUACGCCUGUUUCACUGUUUGGCUAAAAGUUUAAACUUUAAAAGGACUUUUCAAAAUUCAAAAAUUCAAAUACUGACUGGACCGUUGACC
rnacentral:lncRNA from 1 species